AUGAGAAUUACUAGUCACACAGUCUUUGAGUUUUACAGUAUUAAUCUAUUUAUUAAUAAACACCACAAAAAGAGAAAUUGUAUCAAAAUGUUACUAAAUCCGAUUGAAGUGAUUUGCUAUUAUGCGGUGCAACCGAUAAUAGAUUUCUUGGCACAUUUGUUGAAUGCUGGCUAUCGUAUGGCGUUUUAUGUUUGUAUAUGUGGUAUUGGCGUAAUGCUUGGUAUUAUUCUGGGUUGCGUAUCUGUUAUAUGUUAUAAGUACGCAAAUCCCGUGGAACCAGAAGAGAUACAGAAAGUCAAACCGGGUAUGGAUAUCAGGGAGACAAAUGACAAGCAAAAGUUGAAGUAAAUUAAUUUGGAUAAAGUAUACAAGUAAAAUCAAACCAUUUCAAAUAAUUGAAUUCAGUCAAAUUUGCAGUAUUCACAAUUCACUUCAUUGGCUUUCGUAUGUGACUGACAAAUUCAACGCGAAUCGUUUCAUUUUUUCCCUUGCCACGCUUGCCCCAAUAUGUGCCCUUGUAAAACAUAACGCUCCAAAAAUUGCAAAAGUCAAUGAAAUGUUAUUUGACAUGCACAAAUAGAGACAACGAGUGGAAGCCACAUUGCAGAAAGAGAGAAUACAAAAAAAUAUCGUAAAGUCUGCGUUUAAUUUCAACCAGUCAGCGGAUGCUCUAGUAAUGAAGAUUUUUUUUUUUAAGUAUUCUGUGCUCUCUGAUAUGAAUUGGGGAAAAGUGUAAUAUAAAUACUUGUUAAGAACAGAUUGAAGGGUAAAGCGUUAUCUUUGUAUAAAUAAGUGAUGGGCAAAACUUCAAUUGAAUUUCUGUUGAAUUUUAGAGAAUAAAAUUGAUAAAAGUCUUUAA